rnacentral:rRNA from 1 species
CCUACGGGAGGCAGCAGUAGGGAAUCUUCCACAAUGGACGAAAGUCUGAUGGAGCAACGCCGCGUGAGUGAUGAAGGUUUUCGGAUCGUAAAACUCUGUUGUAAGGGAAGAACACGUACGAGAGGGAAUGCUCGUACCUUGACGGUACCUUACGAGAAAGCCACGGCUAACUACGUGCCAGCAGCCGCGGUAAUACGUAGGUGGCAAGCGUUGUCCGGAAUUAUUGGGCGUAAAGCGCGCGCAGGCGGCCUUUUAAGUCUGAUGUGAAAGCCCCCGGCUC